UUGCAAGACUUAUUUGUCUAUUGCUCCAAACCAGAAAACAAAGAAUGUUCUUUACCCAGAAGCUCAUACGUAGUUUCAUUCAACAUAAAAAUAGUAAAAUUUU